rnacentral:rRNA from 1 species
ACAGCUGUUGCAUGGCUGUCGUCAGCUCGUGACGUGAGUUGUUCUCUUAAGUGAGUAACGAGCGCAACCCCCGUUCUGUGUUAUUGUGUCACAGAAGACUGCCUAGCAUUAUUUGUUAGGAGGAAGGAGGGGACGACGUCAAGUCAUCAUGAUGCUUAUAUCCAGGGCUACACACAUCCUACAAUGGGCUAUAACAGAGGGUUGCAAGACCGCAAGGUGGAGCUAAUCCCUAAACUAGCCCUCAGUUGGGAUUGCAGGCUGAAACUCGCCCUGCAUGAACCCGGAAUUGGUAGUAAUCGCACAUCAGCAGCGUGCGGUGAAUACGUUCUCGCCCGUCUU